CUGAACGCCUCUAAGUCAGAAUCCAUGCCAGAACGCGGUGAUACCACCCGCACGUAUAGAUGGACAAGAAUAGGCUUCGGCUUAGCGUCUUAGCAGGCGAUUCUUCCACGGCGCUCGAAGCGCGUCGUGGUAUUUCGCGUAUUGUAAUUUCAACACGAGCGGGGUCAAAUCCUUUGCAGACGACUUAGCUGUGCGAAACGGUCCUGUAAGCAGUAGAGUAGCCUUGUUGUUACGAUCUGCUGAGGGUAAGCCGUCCUUCGCCUCGAUUUCCCCAAUGGGUUCUCCGGAUUUCUGGAGACUUGUAGGGGUUGUGGGUUUUUUCGAUGUGUCGUCUCCGGACGGGCGGUGCAGGGUAGUCGAGUUAGACUUGGUGGAAUUCGAUUCCGUCGAGUAUGGCUGGCACGAUCGUGUGCGGUUGUGUGUUGGACGGUGCAGGGUAGGCUGCUUGGACAUGGUCGGUUCGAGGAUCGAUUCGAGGGCCGGCCUGUCGAUGAUGUGUGAUGUAUGCGGUCUAGGGUAGGCUGGUUUGUCUUGGUCCAAUUUGAUGUCGGCUCCCGUGCAGGCUAGAGUGAGGGGGGUCCAGGGUAGGUACAGGGUAGGCAGCUUAGAUUUGGUCGAUCUGGAGGUCGAUUCUCCGGCUGGUGGAUCUGACCCUGUCGAAACGAGAUGCGAGCGGUGUAGGGUAGGCUAGUUUCGUCCUCGCCAGGUUGCGAUUUGGACGAGAUAUGUGGUCUAGGGUAGGCUCUAGGGUAAGUAGAAUUCGAGUUUCGUCGCCGACAGUUUUCUGUGGGUGUAUGGUAGGUACAGGGUAGGCAAAACUCUCUCCGGCCAGUACUUGUCUGGUGGUCGUGAGUCGAUUUUUUUGUUUUGCCAUACUAUUGAAUUUUGCGGAAAUUCAAAAGUGGCUCGGGAGUCCCGCCUGGCGUGCGUCCGACUCGAACAUCGUCGGUGUACAUAUGAGAGGGAGUAAUCCGGCCCGGCCGGGGCCCAUCGCGAGCUGCCGGGUAGGUAAAAGUAAAAAAGUUGUUAAGAGGCGCGGUGUCGGCGUGCUUGUAUUUGCGGGAGAGAAUUAUCUGGAGGUGCUGGGUAGCCGGGAAGACUUGGACGGAUCUGGCCCGGGAAUGGGUCUGGGCCUGGAUUCUGGUGUGGUGUAGGAUAGGCGUAGAUAGAUGAGUGGUCUAGGGUAGAUACAGGGUAGCCAGAAGUCUGGUAUAUAGUGUGGGGGGUGUAGGGUAGGUCUGGACACCGUUUUCCACUUCGCCCUUCCCUUUACUCGAGGGAGGACGAUCUUGGCUGGGAUGGAGGUGUAGGGUAGGCUUAAUUUACGAUUACAUGAUCUGUGUCACUCUAGGGUAGGUGAAAAUCCCAUAUAUAUCUGAUCACAUUUGGAGAAGAGGUGGUUUGGCUGGUGAGAUGGACAAAAGUGCAAUGUAGAAUUAUAUGUGAUUUUGCAAAAGUGGGUGUGAAAUUGGGAAAUCGGUUUCCCCGCACAGAUGAGAGCACGUUUGAGGUGCCAUGAGAUGCACCUCUCCGAGACGACCUCAACGGUACCACCGAUGUGUUGGUCCGGCUCCUGUGCGGCCGUCCAGGGCGGGAUAUGUAGAGAAUGUGGUGGUGUAGGGUAGGUGGCCAGGUCCAGGGUAGGUUCUCCAAAUCCGUCAAUCCGGCUUGAAUCGAAGGACAGGUCUAGGGUAGGCCAGAGUCGGGUCUAGGGUAGGCAGCUCUCACCCUCGAAGUGGUCUACCCGGUAGUCAACUUCAAUCGCCUCUCACGGCCGCCACGGACCUCGCAUGACGACGGGACCACCACCAUCGGAUUUGCCUUGGUCGAAAUAGUCGGUAUAUGCACUUUUGCAAAAAUGCGUGCAAAAUGGUUUUGUGGUUUGGUGGUCGUGAGUCGAUUUUUUUGUUUUCCCAUACAAAUGAAUUUUGCGGAAAAUAAAAAGUGGCCCACGAAGCAGUUCUGGCGUGCGGCCCACUAAAACGGUCUCGGAGGGUAUAUGAGAAGGGAGCAAAUCCGGCCGAGCCUGAAAGGGUGAGGACAAACCGGGCGAGCAACCUCUCAGUAUCAGAUCUUGCAGACUUCCACUGCGUGUCCCUCUGUACAGCUUUGCAGGCUCCGGCCUCGGCAGCGGGGGGUUCAUAGUGGUCGUCGACCUCCACGAAACUGCACGCUCCGGCGUGACAGCGUACUGGGGAUGCCUGUGUAGAUGCAGUCCGGGCUUGCCUGGACCGCUAGCAGAUGGGCUCUGUGGAUGACUGGCCGCUGGCUAGACCUGAAACCUGAGCAACGGGAGGUAACCUCUCGCCGCGGACACCGGAAUGGUAGAAGCGGCGUGCUGCGUCCUCCUCUUGGGGCCCCUAAGCCACACCUCCCAUAGCGGGUUCGGUGCGGCGGACGGACGCCCUGGGGAAUUUAGAGGGGGAAAGCGGAUUGCCCUAGCGGUGUUGUUGGCCCUGCCGACCUCACUGCGAAAGGCGCGACUUCACCGUCGCCACCCAGUAACUUGUCUCUCCGGCGCUUCACGGCGCUGGUGGCCAACCCCGGCACACGAUAGUUACCUGGUUGAUUCUGCCAGUAGUCAUAUGCUUGUCUC
rnacentral:misc_RNA from 1 species